CAGGCUGUGGCAGCCCCCACAGGGGCCCACUUUGGGGCAGGCUCUGGGAAGAUCUUACUGGAUGACAUGCAGUGUGUGGGCAGUGAGAGCCAUCUGGGUCAAUGCAUGCGUGGGGACCAGGCCAGGCACAACUGUGGGCACCUGGAGGAUGCCAGUGUCAUCUGCACAGGUGCUGGCAAUUCACCAGGUCUCGCUCCAACCACAGAGCCUGAAGCUGUCACUUCAUCAUACACACCAUCAGGUCAAGCACUGUUAUUAGCUGUGCCCACCACAAAGCCUGCUGUGCU
rnacentral:lncRNA from 1 species